AGUGAACGCUGGCGGCGUGCUUAACACAUGCAAGUCGAACGAGAACGGAUUAUAGCUUGCUAUAAUUGUCAGCUAAGUGGCGCACGGGUGAGUAAUGUAUAGGUAGUAUGCCUCUUACUAAGGGAUAACAAAUGGAAACGUUUGCUAAUACCUUAUACUCCUUAUUAACAGAAGUUAAUAAGGGAAAGAUUUAUUGGUAAGAGAUUAGCCUGUAUUGUAUCAGUUAGUUGGUGGUGUAAUGGCUUACCAAGACUAUGACACAUAACUGGGUUAAGAGGAUGAUCGGUCACACUGGAACUGAGACACUGUCCAGAAUCCUACGGUAGGCAGCAGUGGGGAAUAUUGCACAAUGGACGAAAGUCUGAUUCAGCAACGCGGCGUGGAGGAUGAUACAUUUCGGUUCGUAAACUCCUUUGAUAUGAGAAGUUAAUGACGGUAUUAUAUGAAUAAGCACCGGCUAACUACGUGCCAGCCGCCGCCGUAA
rnacentral:rRNA from 1 species